CUUUAUUGUGCAUCUAAAGCUGAAGCUGACAUCUUAGUUUACUCAUCGAGUUAUUUGAAAAUGGCAAGUAAAGUGGAUGAUAAUACCAGGCCCCUGAAAGGGAAGCUGGAGGUGAAGCUCAGUUCUAUUUUACUCCAGUCCAGUAGGGGGCGGUAAUCUUCUUAUUAGUUGGCUUCCAACCGCCGAUAUAAAAAAGCGAGGGAAGCAGGACCAACUGCAGUCACUUGGUUGCUGUCUGCUGCGACUGAAACGUCAUCGGUGAAACUGGUCACAAGUGGAGCCACGCCUAGACUGGACUCUACUACAAACAAAGUGUUAAGAAGAGAAGCCACUCAUACAGGAUUUGCAUCAGGUUUGUGUUUUAACGCUUCAUCUCUUGGCUUUUAGUAGCAGACACUGUGAAUGGUGAUCUCUUGUGAUGGAUAGCACUGGGCUCAGAAAAUCAGUGGUGACAGAAGUGCAUCUCUGCCCUUGACAAGGCAGAGUCUGAUGAGACGAUGGCUACUUUUUUUUUUUUUUAAAACCUUGUAUGAUUGUGACUAUUCUGACUGCUCUUUGCUUCUGUUACAGGUACUGGUCCUCCCACAGACAUCACCUGCUUUUAUAACCAUUUUAUGUUUCAGUGUUUUUUUUUGUUUGUUUUUUUUGUUAAUUUUCAAAGCUUAAUAUUCUGUAUUUGCUCUGAUUAAAUCAAAUAAAACUCUGCA